rnacentral:lncRNA from 1 species
AUUCUACACUCUUCAGAGUCACUUCACCCCCUAGAGAUUCCUUCUCCAGGAUCCUGUAAACCAGAGGCUAUGUCAGGAGCUAAGGACAUGAUGGCCAAGAAGAACUAUGCACAGGACAAACAAGCAGGAGACAGGGUUCUGGGAGAGAAGGUGAGCUCACUUCUGCAGAUGACUCUACUCACUGGCCACACCAUGCUCUAUAAACACCCUGCACCAUCUGUGAUGUCAGCUGCCAGCUGCCUGGAGAAUCUGCCCUGCUCUGGGAGCUUGUAUUAAAACACUCACUUAUAACUCCCUAUUAAUUUUUCACGAGGAGUUAUUUUUAACUUGCUCAAACCAUUGUCUGAAUAUGCCAAAUAUAUUUUCUUAAUGAACGAGCCUGGCGUGUGGUUCCUCCUUCCCCUCCUCUCCUGCUGCUAUUCAAAUGGUCCCUUCCUCAUGGGGCGCAGGGCUUGGAUGAACUAUUCACAGCAAUGCCCCGGAAAUGAGUAGUGGGGAACAGAGAAAACCAAG